rnacentral:lncRNA from 1 species
GCGUAUCUAACUUGUCUGACGUGUCACUCUCCUAGAAGCUCUUAGAGAUAUCUAAUGAGUAUUCCAGUAAGCUCCGAUUAAAUUCUUCCAUCUUCUUAAAUCCUCCUCGGUGCUGUCAAAACAUAGCGACGUAAGGUAAAAACGGAUAUAAUCUGCAAAAUUGGUCGUUUACAAGCUUAAAAGAAAAAUACUACUAGUAAAACAUCAGAGCUAAUUUAUGGCUUUGGCUCGUUUGGCUUUGAAAAAUUUGCAACAGAGAUGUUCUUUACCAUCAUAUCAGUGUGCCUCCGAAAGAACUGUAAACUCUGUCCAGAAACAGAGAUGGGGUUCUGAACUUCUUAGAAGGAUAUCAUCAGCCGCCGGCAAG